AUUGAACGCUGGCGGCAUGCUUUACACAUGCAAGUCGAGCGGCAGCGCGGGGGGCAACCCUGGCGGCGAGCGGCGAACGGGUGAGUAAUGUAUCGGAACGUACCUUUCAGUGGGGGAUAACGUAGCGAAAGUUACGCUAAUACCGCAUAUUCUGUGAGCAGGAAAGCAGGGGAUCGCAAGACCUUGCGCUGAUUGAGCGGCCGAUAUCAGAUUAGCUAGUUGGUGAGGUAAAGGCUCACCAAGGCGACGAUCUGUAGCGGGUCUGAGAGGAUGAUCCGCCACACUGGAACUGAGACACGGUCCAGACUCCUACGGAGGCAGCAGU
rnacentral:rRNA from 1 species